rnacentral:rRNA from 1 species
GACGAACGCUGGCGGCGUGCUUAACACAUGCAAGUCGAACGGUGAAGGGACCAGCUUGCUGGUUCUGGAUGAGUGGCGAACGGGUGAGUAACACGUGGGUAACCUGCCCCCUUCUUCUGGAUAACCGCAUGAAAGUGUGGCUAAUACGGGAUAUUCUGGGUCUGUCGCAUGGCGGGCCCGGGAAAGAUAUUGCUUCGGUGGGGGAUGGGCUCGCGGCCUAUCAGCUUGUUGGUGGGGUGAUGGCCUACCAAGGCGGUGACGGGUAGCCGGCCUGAGAGGGUGGACGGUCACACUGGGACUGAGACACGGCCCAGACUCCUACGGGAGGCAGCAGUGGGGAAUAUUGCACAAUGGGCGCAAGCCUGAUGCAGCGACGCCGCGUGAGGGAGGGAGGCCUUCGGGUUGUAAACCUCUUUCGCCAGUGAAGCAGGCCUGCUCCUUGUGGGUGGGUUGACGGUAGCUGGAUAAGAAGCGCCGGCUAACUACGUG